ensembl:miRNA
GUUUCUGCUGCCAGCCAAGGCUCUGGGUCUGGCUUACUCCCUAGCUUACUGUCCUCAGAACCUCUGCCACCACGGAAG